GAGCCCGGGCGGCUGGCCGGGGGGGGCCUGGCGUUGGGGAGGGACGGGGAUGGCCGCGGGCGCGUUCCCCUCCCGGCCAUGGGCGACCCGGCGACCCGGCUGGGCGUGGCCGCCCGCCCGCCCUUAGCCCGCGCUUCCCGCUCCCGCUGGGCGCCCCGCCACUUCCUGAGGCUGGGCCCAGGGUGGGGGAUCCGGGAGGGUGCAGUUCGGGAUCGCGAAGGCAGCCCCGGAAGGGGGGCGGGCCGGUCGGGGUCGCCACAUCUUAGUUCGGAACCCGGCCGGGGGCAGAGGGUGCCCUAGGGGACGCGAAGGAGCCGCAUUUCUCCUAGAGCGUUUCACCGGACCCGGGGGCUCCCCCUCUCGUCUUCCUCCGUUCCCCAACUUGGAAUAAAGAAUCACCUAGUGAGACGAAUCUGUGUGUCUUUGCAUUCCUGAGACCCUCAUAAAUCGAUUCUGCAGCUUCUCCGGUGGAUGAGUCGUGCCCAGCCACACCCUAGCAAAAUACCGUGGGUCACACACCACCUGCAUUUCUGAGUUCCGGUUACCAUCUCACUCUCUCUCCACGUUAUUUUACGUUUUCUCGUCACCUGGAGGACAGUGUUGGUAAGCUUGAAGAAAAAUCGUGCAUACUGGAAACAAUGGUCUUGCCUCAAACCUGUUGAGAACUUCUCUUCCCUGCUUCUCUCCAUAAUUUGAAGAAGCAAGAAAUGUUUCUGAAGUGAAGCAUAAAGGAGUAUCUUCAAGCUCUAUCUCAUACCUACCAGCUUGCAUAGAGUAUAAUAGUGGGAAGAAAUAUUGUGAAAGAUUCUAGAACCUAAGUCCUUUCUAGGCUAGGCAAUUCUAGGCUACACAAUUCGUAGUCUCUGUAAAUACCAUUUGAUAACUGAAAUAAACCUAUAAAGUGGGAUUAAAUGUUAGUCCAGAAGACUAAGUGAUUUAAGGAAAGAGGGAAAAUAACCAGAUAGAUUUCUGGUGGAUAUUCAUAGACAGACAUAAUUUCAUCAUGUAUUAUGGCCCUAAGUCAUCUAUUUUAUAUUAAAACAUAGAUGGUAACUGUAAAGUUAUCAAAUGUAAAAAUUACUGGGCUAGCAUUGUGUUUUAACACUGAUACACCAGUUGAUUACAGUGUUGACAGAAAACGGGCAGAAACACGUUUAAAGUACCUGCAGAAUAUAUAUAUAGAAAUCUUUUUUUUUUAAUCAGUGUUGACCAGGUUGGCCUCGAACGUGUAGCCUCACCUCCCCGAGUGCCAGGGCAACCGGCCUGAGCCACAGCGGCUCCCUAGAAAUCUUAAGUGCAGGAAACAAAACUACAGUUUAAGGAAACAGGAGUCGGAGAGGAGGGGCAUUUGGCCCAACCACUGGCAAAAGGCUGUUGUUGCAACAACUGUGAGAUUCUGGGAAGUGGGGAAAUGAGCAGGUGCUGUGUAAAAGUGCACAGCUGACUGCCCCAGGUGAGACAGAUCAGUGUCACAGAGAGUAGGAGGAUUUUGAGGUGUGAUUAGUAUUUUUUUUUUUUUUCUUAAAGAGAUGGUCUCGUUCUGGAACCCAGGCUGGAGUGCAGUCGUGGCACGAUCAUAAUUCACUGUAGCCUUGAGCUCCUGGGCUCAAGUGAACCUCCUGAGCAGCUGGGACUACAGAUGCAUGCCACCGUGCCCAGCUAAUUAUUAAAUUGUAUAGACAGGAUCUCUAUAUGGUACCCAAGUUGGUCUCAAACUCCUGGCCUCAAGCAGUCCUCCUGCCUCAGCCUAUUAAAGUGCUGGGAUUACAGGAGUGAGCUACCACACCCAACCAGUAGGAAAUCUUAAAGCCACAUUGAUACUACAGUUUGAAAUAUGUAAAAACUAGGGAGCUAUGUUUCCCACUAACUGGGCAUUUAAAAUGUAAUCGUCUUUGAGGAAGGAAGAAGGCUCUGGAUUAUUCUUGUAAUAGUUUGAAUUUAAAAGGUCCUUUCAGGUGGGCAAACAGCUUACGUGGCUUUCUUGCACUGAAAUAGAAACUGUAGUCCCCAUGUGGGUUUGGGUCCCUGAAUUAUCCCCAGAAGAACUUCCACAGUCCGGAACUGACUCCCUUAAAGAAACCAAAAAUGUAUUUUCUUUGGUGGGGAUUUUCUUUAGUUGGUCUUUGUCUGGGAUUUUAUAUCAGUGACAGACUGUAGCGUCACACUUUUCCAGAAAUACGGUUUCGGAGAGGGUACCCCUAACGUUUUAUGUGUGUGUGUGUUACAUUUAGCAAGUUUAUAUAACAUAUUUUACUUUUUUUUUUUUUUUU